rnacentral:rRNA from 1 species
UACGAAGGGGGCUAGCGUUGCUCGGAAUUACUGGGCGUAAAGCGCACGUAGGUGGCUUCUUAAGUCGGUGGUGAAAUCCUGGAGCUCAACUCCAGAACUGCCUUCGAUACUGGGAAGCUUGAGUCCGGGAGAGGUGAGUGGAACUGCGAGUGUAGAGGUGAAAUUCGUAGAUAUUCGCAAGAACACCAGUGGCGAAGGCGGCUCACUGGACCAUAACUGACGCUGAUGCACGAAAGCUAGGGGAGCAAACAGG